ACAAGCGAUGUGGAGCGAAUCCAGAAAAUAAUGUCCCAGUUCAGAUUGCAGGCUGCAACUCGCCUGCAUGAAGUCGGAAUUGCUAGUAAUCGCAGAUCAGCAUGCCGCGGUGAAUACGUUCCCGGGCCUUGUACACACCGCCCGUCACACCAUGGGAGUUUGUAACGCCCAAAGUCGGUGGCCUAACCUUUAUGGAGGGAGCCGCCUAAGGCGGGACAGAUGACUGGGGUGAAGUCGUAACAAGGUAAC
rnacentral:rRNA from 1 species